AGCAUCAUCCUAAUCCUAAUUCAGUUUCUUUAUCCCUUGCCCUGUUUGUAGGCCUUCUUUUAUUUGAGGAAGGCAAGCAGUCUUCUGGGCCAACCCUCAGCAUUUUCAUUUUUGAAAAAACACAAGGCGAAGAUCUGUCAGUUUGAGGAGGCCACUUUCUGCUGUUUUCUGUCAGAGGUCUGUUUCAGCAUGGGACACAUUACUUUAGCCAAAAAAUUGGCUAGGAAAGCCCUUCUACUGCUGAAAAGGAAUUUCCCUCAGACCUGGUUUGGUGUCCUUUUCCAGAUAUUCCUGGAAAAGUAUUGGCAUUCCUGUUCCCCAAGCCAACCUCCAAAUAAUCCUAGUGAGAGUAAGAAGAAGUUGGCAGUCCUGCAGCAGCAGGUGCAUUGCCUCUCCCUACUCUGGCAGCUCUAUAACCUGGAGACCACAGCCAGUAGCUGCAGGUUUGCUUGCCUCGCUACUCUCAUGCAGAAAAAUUCAGCCGAGGAGCUUGCAAAUGAAGCCCAGGUUUGCCCAGGAGUCACAAUGGGACCUCUUUGAGCACUAUUUUUCUAAGUCGUGCCAGUUGGUGAAAAGAACCAAUGCCUCACUAUUUGGUGCUCAUGGCUUUGUCCGAUUCCUAGAGUGCCAUGUGUUAAUGUUACAGAAAAUGCCAGAGGGUAUCUUCAUGCAUAUUCCCCUAGAGCUUCGCAGCCAAACGCUCGAGGUA
rnacentral:lncRNA from 1 species